GAUGAACGUUGGCGGCGUGCUUAACACAUGCAAGUCGAACGAACCUUCGGGUUAGUGGCGGACGGGUGAGUAACGCGUGAGAAUCUGCCCUCAGGAGGGGGAUAACGGUUGGAAACGACCGCUAAUACCCCAUAUGCCGCGAGGUGAAAUGAAUUUCGCCUGAGGAUGAGCUCGCGGUCUGAUUAGCUAGUUGGUGGGGUAAAGGCCUACCAAGGCAUCGAUCAGUAGCUGGUCUGAGAGGAUGAUCAGCCACACUGGGACUGAGACACGGCCCAGACUCCUACGGGAGGCGGCAGUGGGGAAUUUUCCGCAAUGGGCGAAAGCCUGACGGAGCAACGCCGCGUGAGGGAUGAAGGCCUCUGGGCUGUAAACCUCUUUAUCAAGGAGAAGAUCUGACGGUACUUGAUGAUAAGCCACGGCUAACUCCGUGCCAGCAGCCGCCGUAAG
rnacentral:rRNA from 1 species